GACGAACGCUGGCGGCGUGCUUAACACAUGCAAGUCGAACGGAAAGGCCCUGCUUUUGUGGGGUGCUCGAGUGGCGAACGGGUGAGUAACACGUGAGUAACCUGCCCUUGACUUUGGGAUAACUUCAGGAAACUGGGGCUAAUACCGGAUAGGAGCUCCUGCUGCAUGGUGGGGGUUGGAAAGUUUCGGCGGUUGGGGAUGGACUCGCGGCUUAUCAGCUUGUUGGUGGGGUAGUGGCUUACCAAGGCUUUGACGGGUAGCCGGCCUGAGAGGGUGACCGGCCACAUUGGGACUGAGAUACGGCCCCGACUCCUACGGGAGGCAGCAGUGGGGAAGAUUGUGCAAUGGGCGGAGGCCUGAUGCAGCAACGCCGCGUGCGGGAGGCCGGCCUUCGGGUUGUAGACCGAUUUCGCCUGUGACGAAGCGUGAGUGACGGUAAUGGGUAAAGAAGCACAGGCUAACUACGUG
rnacentral:rRNA from 1 species